rnacentral:lncRNA from 1 species
CGAAUGACGCACCUCGCACGGUUGAUUGAUUUUGAUUUUACCGUGGGGUAGUAUUCAUGAUGUAGAUUAAAGUAUGUGUAUGUAUGGUUAUCAGGUAUUGUGGAUUCAUGGCUUCCAAUAAACGCAAGCGUCUAUUGUUAAUUACCCCUAUAAAGUGUUAGGGCACCUUCGAUUAAGAGACCUCUGAAAUGCUGAAGAUAAACUAGAAUUGGACAAAAAGGAAAUUUACAAUUUAUUGCUCAAUUACAUGGCUUUAACCAAGGGCAUACCCUCAGUGUAUAUGAAUAGAGCGUAAAGAAAAUGUAUUUUUCAAUUGUAUCUUAGUUAUAUAUUCUAAGAUACCCAAUAUAUGGUCAAAUUAAUUUUGUUGGACUCUAUAUGUUGUGGAGCUCAACACUAUUCACCCUAAGAUGAAAGAUUGAUUAAAUUCCAUAUAUAUAUGCAUUGGAAUUUAAUCAGAUUUAAUUCAGAUUAAACUCUAAUUAUAUGUAUUAGAGUUUGAUUUGGUUAAUUGAACUUUAAAUAUAUGUAAUAAAGUCCAAUAGAUGAUCAGAUUUUGUUGAGCUCUAUAUAUUUUGGAGCUCAACUUUGUUU